rnacentral:rRNA from 1 species
UACAGAGGUCUCAAGCGUUGUUCGGAUUCAUUGGGCGUAAAGAGUGCGUAGGCGGUUCUCCAAGUCCGUUGUGAAAGCCCCGGGCUCAACCUGGGAAUGGCAGUGGAAACUAGGGGACUUGAAUCUGGCAGAGGGGGGUGGAAUUCCACGUGUAGCAGUGAAAUGCGUAGAGAUGUGGAGGAACACCGAUGGCGAAGGCAGCCCCCUGGGCUGAGAUUGACGCUCAGGCACGAAAGCGUGGGGAGCAAACAGG